GCCCUGGUGGCACAGUGGUUAAGUGCUUGGCUGCUAACCGAAAGGCUGGAGGUUCGAACCCAUCCAGUGGCU
rnacentral:tRNA from 1 species